rnacentral:rRNA from 1 species
UACGUAGGGUGCAAGCGUUAAUCGGAAUUACUGGGCGUAAAGGGUGCGUAGGCGGCUCAAAAAGUCAGAUGUGAAAUCCGGAGGCUCAACCUCCGAAUUGCAUCCGAAACUCUUGUGCUGGAGAAUUGUAGAGGAGCUUGGAACUCUCGGUGUAGCAGUGAAAUGCGUAGAUAUCGAGAAGAACGCUCGCAGCGAAAGCGAGGCUCUGGGCAAUUUCUGACGCUGAGGCACGAAGGCUAGGGGAGCAAACGGG